AUGUAUGCUGUAACCCAACAGAGAGGACUUUUAUUGUAACUCUUUAUUUUUACCGGAGCUCUUCUCCAGGAUUUCAAACAAGGCUUUGGCUGACUCUAAGCAAACAGCGCCCUUUGUUUUCAAAGGAGCAGCGCACAGAUCUUCCCACACACAAGAAAGGAAGAGGCUAUUUCAGUCGGAGUUGCUUUAUGGGCUUUUCCCGUGACGGUUUCACUCCUGCUGCUUUCUGUGAGCAGGCAGACAGGGGAUUCGGUUUCCUCGGCAGCGCCUGAUGUCGGCUAAAACUCACCACGUACAAUUGCUUGGUGCAGGUUUUUUUAGAUGCAUUGUCCCCAUAUACAGAUGAGGAGACAGCCUGUGAUACAACCACAUGCGAUUUUGAAGAUCAGGAAUGAAGUCUCGUUUUGACACCAACGGAGGCCGCCCUUGCUGCUACGACCCGAUCCUAUUCUCUGUAAGUGGGAGUUUUCAGGCAGUUUCCACAGUGGACUACAAAGGCCAGGAAAAUAGUGCAUCUUAAUCCAGUCCUGGGUCUGCAAAAUGGAGCACAAUCACUGAGAAAGCAACCCCAGCUGGUCACUGGGUUCCUGCUCUCCGACAGCAAAAUGGAGAGGAGCCGAGCUAUAAAAUGCCAGGUGAGUGUAAUUAGCUUGUUCCCGCUAAAGAUAAACCCCAGCUUUAUCUAAUUUUGUUUUUAACAGAUCUUUGAAAGUGCCAGCAAAGCAACGGACGUAAGGGAAUCUAGGAAAAGCUGUAAGAAGAAGGUGGUGGAUGAGCUAUGGAGCCUUUAAAGCUUGGGAAAUUGAAGUGUUAGUGCCUGCACCAGCUUGGACUUCUGAUGAGGCUUCUGCAAGCCUAAUUGGGUCAGCUGCAGGACGGAUGCCGAGCACCCCAGAGUACUGCAGGAGUGAAACAUGCUCAUCCCAAAAGCUCUGCCCUUGGGGAUGCUUGGCUGGACCUGCCAGGGAGAGGUGGCAGCUGCAGCCGCAGUCUCACAUCCAUGGGUGA
rnacentral:lncRNA from 1 species